CAACAGGAACAUGAAGAAACUGCUGAUUCUGCUCAGGUUUUGGCCAACAGUAACACAAGAGAUAAAGGAAAAAGAAAGUUGGAGCUUCAGGAGGAGUCCAGCGGAUGGCUAUCACCAACUAAGAAACAACAACGGGACUCCACAUAUGCAGGUAUUUAUGUUAUGUUGAGAACAAUUAUAACCACCAGAACAGUGCUCUCCAAGCU